rnacentral:tRNA from 1 species
GGUCCUGCAGCUCAGUGGUAAGAGCGAUGGUCUCUUGAGCCUUAGGUCGUGGGUUCAACUCCUGCCGGGAUUA